rnacentral:rRNA from 1 species
AUUGAACGCUGGCAGCAGGCCUAACUCAUGCAAGUCGUACGAGUUGCGGACGGGUGAGUAAUGUCUGGGAAACUGCCUGAUGGAGGGGGAUAACUACUGGAAACGGUAGCUAAUACCGCAUACCAUCAGAUGUGCCCAGAUGGGAUUAGCUUGUUGGUGGGGUAACGGCUCACCAAGGCGACGCUCCCUAGCUGGUCUAAGAGGAUGACCAGAAACCCUGGAACUGAGACACGGUCCAGACUCCUACGGGAUGAAGCAGUUGGGAAGAUUGAACAAUGGGCGCAAGCCUGAUGCAUCCAUGCCGCGUGUAUGAAGAAGGCCUUCGGGUUGUAAAGUACUUUCAGCGGGGAGGCGUGACCCGCAGAAGAAGCACCGGCUAACUCCGUGCCAGCCGCCGCGGUAAUAC